AUGGAUGCCCGGGGUCGCCGGCCCCGCAGAGGGACGAGGAUGCUCACCGGGAGCUGGAUGGCCGACGCGGGCCUUUUCGAGAGCAGCAGCACCCGCAGCAAGCUCUGGCUGUGCCAUCAGAGCCCCGGAGGGGAUGGAGGGGAGGCGAGCUCGCGGCAGCCUCGGUGUCCCUGUACGUUUAUCACAGGAGCCAAGUCCCGCUUUGCAAGAUCUUUUUUCAGCCGAGCAGCUUGUGCUGGCAUUUGCAAGCUCCAUGGAGCCGAUCCCUUUUUGCACCUCUGCUUUCGGCCCUGCUGCGGAAACCAUGGCACCACCGCAGGGAGCGAAUGGCCGGGACGGGCAGAGGGGAGAUGGAGCAAGCAGAGGAGAAAGGGUGCAGGGUACAGCACCACCUUCGGCUUAGCAAAUUUGGGAAAUAAAGCACAAAACUUUUAGGAAGGAGGAAAGAGAGAGAUUCGAUCCAUCCCCUUGUGUCCCAGCUCAGAUCACUCCACACAGCGAUGCGUGGCAAGCCAUCUCCUUCCCCACACGCCAAUUUCCCUCCCUGUAGGACUUGGGGCUGGUACCACUGACAUCCCAGCCUCGCAGCCCCACUGCCCUGUCCUGGACACCCAGACACGUCCGACCCCAAUGGGACAGAGAGCGGGGGGCUCAGCUCUCCCCUGGUGAGCCCCUGGGGAAGGGGGUGUCACAUCCCAGCUCCCCAAAAUACCCCACAACUGCUGGAAAUCGCCCAGCCCUGGGAUUCUCUCCCACCCGUGCCCAAGGGUUCAGGAUGCCCUGACGCCGCUGCAGCCGAGUUUCUUCCCCAGCAGAUGUUACCAAUUUUUCUUUGCCGUUGAUAUCUUGCUUGCAAUUACUCCAGAAAGUGACAACAGUACAAGGGUCUGCGAUACUAUUUCGCUGCUGUAAUUUCUGCAAGAGGCUGGCCCGUGAGAGUGAAUCUCCCACCUCUCCAAGGCUCUUUCUCCCAGGUCGCUGUUUUGCCAAGGCACCCCGAAAUCCCCAGCUGCCUCCUCGCCCCGUGCCUGGAGGGCUGUCAGCUUAACACAUCGGCAUCUCCUUCCGGACUGUUGAGUGAUCUGAGCUGCCAACAUCACUUUCCAUCUGUUUACAUCAUGUGCUUCUAAAAGAGCAUAGAGGAUUUGAACUCCGAUUUUAAUUUUUCUCUCUUUCUGUUGGAGCAAAUAUGGAUUGGUUUCUCCCUGGUACUUCUCACCCCUGCCCCCUGCGUUUGCAGAUCCCGGUGGGUGCCAGAGCCAGGGCUGGCACGAGCAGACGGCCCUGGAUGUUUGCUCGGGUUGUUCUGGAGGAGCUGUGGCACGCAGGGAUGUGUCCCCCUGUCCUCACCCAGGUGUCCAUGUGCUGCCGUCCUGGGGUCCCCCUCCUCUAUCCCGGGGGUGCCGUGAGGUUGGAAAGCGCAGGAGACGCCGCUGAUGUCCCCAGUGAGAGGGGGCUGUGGGUGGCACUGGGGGGGGGACGUGGGGGAUACCCGGCCUGGGCAGCACAGCUUAUGGGGGGCUCUUGUGUAUUCUGCAGGGAUCGGUGUGAAUUUCCCCACUGAUUGGGGAAAACAUCGGUACCCAGGCUGGUGCCCAGGCGAGUGGCUAAGCCCCACUUGUCAACGGGACUUACGGACGUGCUUAAGCUAAGCACGCAUCUGAACACCUCCCGGAACGGACGCCAACACCGAUAACGAGUGCAUCUCCCGGCCCUUUCGGAGCCGCAGCCUUUCAGGCCACGCGCAAACCCACAGAAACCCCGCUGUCCCCGGCGUGCCCAGCCCCGAGGACGCAGCACAGCAUUUCCCACGGGGCCCCCACCGCCAACCCGCUCGGUGCCGAAUCCGCGGCGGCGCCUUCCUCCCGCACCCACCCGCCGGAGCUCGCUGCUCUGUAAUUACAGCUCCGCCACCAGCUCGCCCCGUGCCAUGCCGGCCACCCCUCACGGGUGCCGGGCAUCAAAGGUGGGGGGGGGCUGGCAGAGCCGCGGCCCCCCGGGACCCACCGGCAGCUUUGUUCCCGACAAGUCGGGGCCCUCCUACUGCCGCCUCCGUGCCCACCCCCACCCCGGCGAGGCAUCACAGCUCCUAACGAAACGGAACUGCUGCCAGAUGAAAUAUAUUACUAUUAAAUACUUAAUUCUUCUAGUGAGCGGAGAGCAGCCAGUAUGAAUACGAUUAUUAAAGAAAAUUACUUUGGCUGAUCAGAUAUUUCUGCAUACUAAUUUCUGACCCUUCUUUCCUCUCUGCUUGCUUCUCAUCCCUUAGAGACCAGGACAGAUAAAAUUCCAUCACAAAUAGCUGAUUACUGGGGCUUGCAUUAAAAUCAAAUUUUUUUUCCUCUCGGCGCUAAUGUCCUUGCCUAAAGUAGAGGCAGCAGCUGUCAAAAAAAAAAAAAAAAAAGCCUAGAGAUUGGUCUAGAUCUGAAUAUCCCUGAACUUUGAGGCUGCUGGUGUUGCUGUCUGGAUCCAGAUUUGGAGGUUGUCUCUCCAGCCGGCCGGGCAGGGCUUGUGCAGCGGGGCCUGGAGGAGGCUGGCUGAGGCUGGAAGGUGGCAUGCUGCAGGAUCCGUCCCUCCCCGCUGCCCUGCCCUGUCCUGCUCCUGCUCCUGCUCCAGCCCUGGGCUCCCUCCCAGCCUGCUGCAGCCAACGUUUCCAGUUCCCAGCGAAGAAGGCAGAGGUUACACCACGCUGACAGAAGCGGGUGGAUUGAAUGGGGCAGGCAACAGGAAAAGUACAGACUGGGGGGUUGAACCCUGCACGGCAUCACCCCUCUUCCCGCUCCCAUUCGGGCAGACAGAGGCAGGGCCAACACAAAAACCUCUCUCCCUGCUGAGACCGACCAACUUCUGAAGUUUCUUUGCCUCCCAUCGCCCACCGCCCAGGCCACGGUCAACCUGUCACAGCGCAAGGAUGCCACGGAAAAUAAUUCGCUCCUGUCUCAUCCCGUCCCCACCAUCACCACCGCCACCUCCCCCUGCUAACGUACCCAACCUGGAAGCCUCCAAUUUACCUGCUUUUAAAUAAAGACACUUGUAAAGGUGUCA
rnacentral:lncRNA from 1 species